CGGGGAGUGGCGCAGGUGGUAGCGCGCCUGGUUUGGGUCCAGGAGGUCGCAGGUUCAAAUCCUGUCUCCCCGACCA
rnacentral:tRNA from 1 species